CCUACGGGAGGCAGCAGUAAGGAAUAUUGGUCAAUGGGCGCAAGCCUGAACCAGCCAUGCCGCGUGAAGGAUGACGGCCCUAUGGGUUGUAAACUUCUUUUGUACGGGAAUAAACCCAGGUACGUGUACCUGGCUGAAUGUACCGUAAGAAUAAGGAUCGGCUAACUCCGUGCCAGCAGCCGCGGUAAUACGGAGGAUCCAAGCGUUAUCCGGAUUCAUUGGGUUUAAAGGGUGCGUAGGCGGACUUAUAAGUCAGUGGUGAAAUCCUGCAGCUUAACUGCAGAACUGCCAUUGAUACUGUAAGUCUUGAGUGUGUUUGAAGUGGGCGGAAUGUGUCAUGUAGCGGUGAAAUGCUUAGAUAUGACACAGAACACCGAUUGCGUAGGCAGCUCACUAAACCACAACUGACGCUGAGGCACGACAGCGUGGGGAUCAAACAGGAUUAGAUACCCUGGUAGUCCACGCCGUAAACUAUGAUUACUCGAUGUUGGCGAUAUACAGUCGAGCGUCGUAAGACGUAAAGACGUUAAGUUAAAGUAACCUACCGUACGGGGUUAGGUUACGGUACGGUUCGAAGAAGUUAGUUAACGUUACGAAAGGAAGUUAGACGGCGUUGAGACGUUAGCCGACGGACGACGACGAGGGAGGAGGAG
rnacentral:rRNA from 1 species